rnacentral:rRNA from 1 species
AUUUAMUUGUCCAUUAAAUGUGGUCCUGACUGAAUAAAGUAACGAUGGUCUCGCUGUCUCUACAAGUAUCUCAGUGAAAUUGAAUUAGCCGUGCAGAUGCGGUUUAACUUCG